rnacentral:rRNA from 1 species
CAGGACGAACGCUGGCGGCGUGCCGUAACACGAUGCAAGUCGAGCGAAUGAAGUUCCUCGGUAGAUUGGAUGAAAGUUGAGUGGCGGACGGGUGAGUAACACGUGGGCAACCUGCCUCAACGAGAGGGGGAUAGCAGUUGGAAACGACUGAUAAUACCGCAUAAGCACACAGUACCGCAUGGUACAGGGUGAAAAGAUUUAUCACUGUGAGAUGGACCCGCGUCUGAUUAGCCAGUUGGCAGGGUAACGGCCUACCAAAGCGACGAUCAGUAGCCGACCUGAGAGGGUGACCGGCCACAUUGGGACUGAGACACGGCCCAGACUCCUACGGGAGGCAGCAGUGGGGAAUCUUCCGCAAUGGACGAAAGUCUGACGGAGCAACGCCGCGUGAACGAUGACGGCCUUCGGGUUGUAAAGUUCUGUUAUACGGGACGAAUGGCGUAGCGGUCAAUACCCGUUACGAGUGACGGUACCGUAAGAGAAAGCCACGGCUAACUACGUG